rnacentral:rRNA from 1 species
UACGUAGGGGGCAAGCGUUGUCCGGAUUUAUUGGGCGUAAAGAGCGUGUAGGCGGCCAGGUAGGUCUGCUGUGAAAACUCGAGGCUUAACCUCGAGAUGUCGGCGGAAACCAUCUGGCUAGAGUCCGGAAGAGGAGAGUGGAAUUCCUGGUGUGGCGGUGUAAUGCGCAGAUAUCAGGAAGAACACCCGUGGCGAAGGCGGCUCUCUGGGACGGUACUGACGCUGAGACGCGAAAGCGUGGGGAGCGAACAGG